rnacentral:rRNA from 1 species
GAUGAACGCUGGCGGCGUGCCUAAUACAUGCAAGUCGAGCGAACAGACGAGGAGCUUGCUCCUCUGACGUUAGCGGCGGACGGGUGAGUAACACGUGGAUAACCUACCUAUAAGACUGGGAUAACUUCGGGAAACCGGAGCUAAUACCGGAGAAUAUAUUGAACCGCAUGGUUCAAUAGUGAAAGACGGUUUUGCUGUCACUUAUAGAUGGAUCCGCGCCGCAUUAGCUAGUUGGUAAGGUAACGGCUUACCAAGGCAACGAUGCGUAGCCGACCUGAGAGGGUGGUCGGCCACACUGGAACUGAGACACGGUCCAGACUCCUACGGGAGGCAGCAGUAGGGAAUCUUCCGCAAUGGGCGAAAGCUUGACGGAGCAACGCCGCGUGAGUGAUGAAGGUCUUCGGAUCGUAAAACUCUGUUAUUAGGGAAGAACAAAUGUGUAAGUAACUAUGCACGUCUUGACGGUACCUAAUCAGAAAGCCACGGCUAACUACGUG